rnacentral:rRNA from 1 species
GACGAACGCUGGCGGCGUGCCUAAUACAUGCAAGUCGAACGCAGUGGGGACGGGGGAGUAACACGUGGGUAACCUCCCAGCAGAGGGGAUAACCCUUGGAAAAAGGUGCUAAAACGAUACUGAUGGAUGGACCAGGGGUGCAUUAGCUAGUUGGUGGGGUAACGGCUCACCAAGGCCACGAGGCAUAGCCGGCCUGAGAGGAUGAUCGGCCACACUGGAACUGAGACACGGCCCAGACUCCUACGGGAGGCAGCAGUGGGGAAUCUUGCACAAUGGGCGCAAGUCUGACCGAGCCAUGCCGCAUGAGUGAAGAAGGUUUUCGGGUCGUAAAGCACUGUUAGUAGAGAAGCGGUAUCUAACCAGGAAGCCACGGCUAACUCCGUGCCAGCAGCCGCGGUAAUAC